AACAAACAGCCACACCCGGUUCCUGUUAGCAAACUUCUCUUGGCAAAGGCAGCAGUAUCAGGAUUGGUGUCUACAGACAGGAUGGAUCCCCAGGGCUGUAGCACUACUGUGUCACAGGCCGUCAAGUUGAAACAACAGUGAUGCUGAGGUUUGACUCAGGUGGAUGUGGUACUGGGCUUUUCCGAAGUAUUGGGUAAAAGUUGAAGAGAUUUAUUCCCUCAUAGUUCAAAUAGUUCUUUGAACACCUGCACAGUUGGAUUAACUCCCACGGGAAGUUCAUGAAUGGCUCUUACCAUGCACAUCCUAGGAGAGGUCAGAGAUAGCAGCCGCCACACCAGGGGACUGAGAUUCACAGAGGGAGACACAUCUAUACAAUCUUACUGUAAAUAAGCACUGUGACUUCUAGAACAGAAUUGCAAACAUUUAUUUGUUAAAUAAAUUGCAUUUCUGAUCCUCAGUGCCUUUGGAAAUUACAGCUUAGAAUGGUUGCUCCUUAUAAGAGGGCAUGCAUUAGGACUGGUCAAAAAAAGAUAAAUGCAAGCAUGAUUGGAAACCAUGCCUAUUGCUCUGUACACUGUAGUUUUUGAAGAUACAUCCUAAUACCACCUCGCUUCAAUACUAUGACUGGAUCCCUAAUCAAAAUCCAUUCUCCUGUGUAACAUGUUUUUCAUUCUCUGAUGUCCUCUGUAAAAAUAAAACAAGCAAGCAAAC